rnacentral:lncRNA from 1 species
UUUUCUUUAAGGUGUGAUCAAUUUUGAACGGGAAGGAAAGAAAUUCAGGGCUGAAAGAAUGGAACUCGCUCUAAGGGACCUUUGGUGAUAAAAAAGACUUCCAUACAUCAUGAGACUUUUCUCUUCCGUGAUGAACAAGAAGUAGUCUUUCCUCAGACGGUGAUCAAAUAACUUUUUCACACCUCAAAUUCUACCUCCACGUUCCUGGUUAAGGUUUGGCUCCAUAUUUGAGGAUGAGUUGUCAACACUUUAGCAGUCAUGAGGAGAAUAAUAAGAGUACUACAUCUUUUGACUUGAGAUAAUCUAAAAGUUGUAACUUUCAUCAUUUUAUGAACUAUCAAGUAUUAGAUUUUGUAGUUAUUUUCUAUUUUUACAUUUUCAGGCACGAAUUUUGGUGUUACAUUAAGGAAUAUAAAUAUUCUCUCUAUUUAUAUGCAUUCAAGCUCAUCAAUCUUAGGUCGAACCUUCUAAAACAGAGACACAUUAACAAAUUAGCGAGAGAUUUUAUAGACUUACCAUUAGAUUUAAGAAAAUAUAUAGAAUCUAAGAGAAAAAAGUUAGUUCAUAAGUAUACUACAUUUUGAGACAUCAAAUUAUAUUCACACUUUUGGACAGCUUUCUCACCCCAUUUUUCCGACCCACUUGGUACUUUCGGAAUUUUUUAUUGGUCACUUUCAUUCUUCAUUGUUCAUUUAGC